rnacentral:rRNA from 1 species
UUGGAAACGACUGCUAAGACUGGAUAGGAGACAAGAAGGCAUCUUCUUGUUUUUAAAAGACCUAGCAAUAGGUAUGCUUAGGGAGGAGCUUGCGUCACAUUAGUUAGUUGGUGGGGUAAAGGCCUACCAAGACUAUGAUGUGUAGCCGGGCUGAGAGGUUGAACGGCCACAUUGGGACUGAGACACGGCCCAAACUCCUACGGGAGGCAGCAGUAGGGAAUUUUCGGCAAUGGAGGAAACUCUGACCGAGCAACGCCGCGUGAACGAUGAAGUAUUUCGGUACGUAAAGUUCUUUUAUUAGGGAAGAAUAAAUGAUGGAAAAAUCAUUCUGACGGUACCUAAUGAAUAAGCCCCGGCUAACUAUGUGCCAGCAGCCGCGGUAAUACAUAGGGGGCAAGCGUUAUCCGGAAAUAUUGGGCGUAAAGGGUGCGUAGGCGGUUAAAUAAGUUUAUGGUCUAAGUGCAAUGCUCAACAUUGUGAUGCUAUAAAAACUGUUUAGCUAGAGUAAGAUAGAGGCAAGUGGAAUUCCAUGUGUAGUGGUAAAAUGCGUAAAUAUAUGGAGGAACACCAGUAGCGAAGGCGGCUUGCUGGGUCUUUACUGACGCUGAGGCACGAAAGCGUGGGGAGCAAACAGGAUUAGAUACCCUGGUAGUCCACGCCGUAAACGAUGAGUACUAAACGUUGGGUAAAACCAGUGUUGAAGUUAACACAUUAAGUACUCCGCCUGAGUAGUACGUACGCAAGUAUGAAACUUAAAGGAAUUGACGGGACUCCGCACAAGCGGUGGAUCAUGUUGUUUAAUUCGAAGGUACCCGAAAAACCUCACCAGGUCUUGACAUGCUUCUGCAAAGCUGUAAAAACACAGUGGAGGUUAUCAGUUGCACAGGUGGUGCAUGGUUGUCGUCAGCUCGUGUCGUGAGAUGUUGGGUUAAGUCCCGCAACGAGCGCAACCCUUAUUGUUAGUUACCAGCACGUAAUGGUGGGGACUUUAGCAAGACUGCCAGUGAUAAAUUGGAGGAAGGUGGGGACGACGUCAAAUCAUCAUGCCCCUUAUGACCUGGGCUACAAACGUGAUACAAUGGCUGUUACAAAGGGUAGCUGAAGCGCAAGUUUUUGGCGAAUCUCAAAAAAACAGUCUCAGUUCGGAUUGAAGUCUGCAACUCGACUUCAUGAAGUUGGAAUCGCUAGUAAUCGCGAAUCAGCAUGUCGCGGUGAAUACGUUCUCGGGGUUUGUACACACCGC